CAGUCGCCGCGGUAAUACGUAGGUGGCAAGCGUUGUCCGGAUUUAUUGGGCGUAAAGCGAGCGCAGGCGGUCAAUUAAGUCUGAUGUGAAAGCCCCCGGCUCAACCGGGGAGGGUCAUUGGAAACUGGUUGACUUGAGUGCAGAAGAGGAGAGUGGAAUUCCAUGUGUAGCGGUGAAAUGCGUAGAGAUGUGGAGGAACACCAGUGGCGAAGGCGACUCUCUGGUCUGUAACUGACGCUGAGGAGCGAAAGCGUGGGGAGCGAACAGGAUUAGAUACCCCUGUAGUCCCUGUCUCUUAUAC
rnacentral:rRNA from 1 species